rnacentral:lncRNA from 1 species
GGUGGGCAGCGCUCGGUGAAGAUCGGCCCUGAAACACAGGGAGCAGAUUCCACCGAAUCCGGGCAGAUUUCCGCUGGCGCGUCUUUCCACGCGCGCAUUUCUCGAAGCCCGCAGUGCUUGGGCAAAAACUGGGUUCUGCCGCUGUUGCCAGCCUUCAACUAGACUCGUUCACUCUGUUUUAGAGUCUAAGAAGAAGACUUGCGAAGGAAGCCCAGAAAGAGAAACAGAGAUACACAUGGAAUAUCCCUUACUCCAACCCAGGCCUGUCUCCAACACGAUGAUCUUGUAAGAGGCAAUCAGGACAAAAUGGAGUGCUUCCUGCUUCAGUGUGACUGAUGUUCUUGGAAGAAGAGAUGGGACCCAGACAGAGGGACACCAUAUGAGGACACAGAGAAGACUCCAUCCGAAAGCUAAGGAGAGGGCUCUCUGCCUGUGUCUUGAUCUUGGACUAAAUAAAAAUAAAUGCUG